GACGAACGCUGGCGGCGUGCUUAACACAUGCCAGUCGAACGGAAAGGCCCUGCUUUUGUGGGGUGCUCGAGUGGCGAACGGGUGAGUAACACGUGAGUAACCUGCCCUUGACUUUGGGAUAACUUCAGGAAACUGGGGCUAAUACCGGAUAGGAGCUCCUGCUGCAUGGUGGGGGUUGGAAAGUUUCGGCGGUUGGGGAUGGACUCGCGGCUUAUCAGCUUGUUGGUGGGGUAGUGGCUUACCAAGGCUUUGACGGGUAGCCGGCCUGAGAGGGUGACCGGCCACAUUGGGGCUGAGAUACGGCCCAGACUCCUACGGGAGGCAGGAGUGGGGAAUAUUGCACAAUGGGCGGAAGCCUGAUGCAGCAACGCCGCGUGCGGGAUGACGGCCUUCGGGUUGUAAACCGCUUUCGCCUGUGACGAAGCGUGAGUGACGGUAAUGGGUAAAGAAGCACCGGCUAACUACGUG
rnacentral:rRNA from 1 species